UUGGGGGAAAAAAAAUGGAGCGUGAGAUGUCAGCAGCAGCUGAAAAAAAUAGAAUCAAAACAAAUUCCAUUUCCAGUGGCCUAAAACCCUAACCACAAACGAUGCCCUUGUAGAUCCUAAUUAAAUACUUCGCUUUCUCCUCUUCGUAUAGUCUCACCACCAACCUGUCAAUCCUCCUCAUGUUUCGCAGAAUCUGCUUCUCUUACUCCCGCUCUGCUAUUCUCCACUCCUCAUUCUUUCACGUCCAAACCCCUAUCUGCUCCCAAAUCUCUCACAAACCAAGUUCUCGCCUUUUCAAUUCUGCCCGCCACCGAUUCUCUGCAUCUUUUACCAAAAUGGGUGAUACCCACAAACCCAAAUCCACUAUCCCACAACUUGAAAAGGCAACUAAACCCGAAUUGCUCCGUGCCCUCGAGUCCUCUUUGGGUUCCUCAUUCAGCAGUGAACCCAUUUGCCCACCGCCGAAUCCUUUAAUCAUUGUAAUUAGCGGCCCGAGUGGGGUUGGCAAAGACGCAGUUAUCAGAAAAUUGAGAGAAGGGCGAGAAAAUUUGCAUUUUGUUGUAACUGCGACUAGCAGGCCAAUGCGUCCGGGCGAGGUUGAUGGUAAGGACUAUUAUUUUAUGUCAAAGGAGGAAUUUUUAUCGAUGGUGGACAAAAAUGAGCUGUUAGAAUAUGCACUUGUGUAUGGUGAUUAUAAGGGGAUACCAAAAAGGCAGAUUACGGAUUAUAUGGCAAAAGGGUAUGAUAUUGUGUUGAGGGUAGAUAUACAGGGAGCACAGACAUUGAGGAAGAUCCUGGGGAAUUCGGCUGUGUUUAUAUUUUUGGUAGCGGAAAGCGAGUUGGAGCUUGUGGAUAGGUUGAUUGAUAGGAAGACGGAGACAGCAGAGUCUUUGCUUGUGAGGGUUGCCACCGCCAGAGAGGAGGUGCAACACAUCAAGAAUUUUGAUUAUGUGGUUGUGAAUGCUGAGGGGAAGUUGGAUUACGCGGUGAAGCUGGUUGAAUCAAUUAUUGAUGCUGAGAAGGCUAAGGUUCGACAAAGGAGAGCCGUGAUUUAGUUGAGUUGUGAUUUAGUUGAGUUUUUUGUUUUUGUCUCGAGAAAAUAAGAGGAAGUACAAGAAAGAGAAGGAAGACAGUUCCAAUGUUCCAGAGAGAGAGAGAGGGAGAGAGGAUAAGCAACAGUUACAAUUCACACGCAAGAUUCUACCUGCAGCUUUGCUACUUAUUCUAGCCUCUUGCUUACAUCAGUUAUUCCAGCUCUACCAACUAACCAUUUCCAUUUGACAGUUAUAGCCAACUCUUAGCUUUUCCUGCCUUCACUCUUUCCUUCAUAUAUCAUUAUUAAACAUAAAGAAAGCCAAGUUAUGAAAAAUAUAAUCAUUGUUUCCUAAUAUCUUAUGCAGAAGUCCCGACAUUUUGGGCAGAAUCUUUGCUAACUAUUGUGCCUGACCAAAUCUGUGGAAAUGGGAUAAUUGGCCAAAGGCGGGAGCAUUAGUCAACUACUUUCCUAACCUGGCUCUUUAUUAGCAAGUGGUAUGUGUCAUGUGCAGAGACCUGAUUCAGAGUCAAAUUAUUCGAAAUCACAGUACUGGGUUGGAAAUAGCUGUAAUGAUUGAGGGAGACUUGGAAUGAAUUUAUUUUAUGAUUUCAAAGUUUGUGUACAGUAGGCAACUCUUUCAAAUGAUUGUCACUUGUAAUCUUUUUCUUUUUCCAUAAGUUGACAAAUUUUAAUGUCAUUAAAUGGAAAUAAAGAAUUUUUUAAAAGGUCA